rnacentral:rRNA from 1 species
UGGGGAAUUUUCUGCAAUGGGCGAAAGCCUGACGGAGCAACGCCGCGUGCGGGAUGACGGCCUGUGGGUUGUAAACCGCUUUUCUCAGGGAAGCAGAUCUGACGGUACCUGAGGAAUCAGCAUCGGCUAACUCCGUGCCAGCAGCCGCGGUAAUACGGAGGAUGCAAGCGUUAUCCGGAAUUAUUGGGCGUAAAGCGUCCGCAGGCGGCCUAUCAAGUCUGCUGUUAAAGGUCGGGGCUCAACUCCGGUUCGGCAGUGGAAACUGAUAGGCUAGAGUACGGUAGGGGUAGAGGGAAUUCCCAGUGUAGCGGUGAAAUGCGUAGAUAUUGGGAAGAACACCAGUGGCGAAGGCGCUCUACUGGGCCGUAACUGACGCUGAGGGACGAAAGCGUGGGGAGCAAACAGGAUUAGAUACCCCCGUAGUCC